rnacentral:rRNA from 1 species
AUUGAACGCUGGCGGCAGGCUUAACACAUGCAAGUCGAGCGGGGGAAGGUAGCUUGCUACCGGACCUAGCGGCGGACGGGUGAGUAAUGCUUAGGAAUCUGCCUAUUAGUGGGGGACAACAUCUCGAAAGGGAUGCUAAUACCGCAUACGUCCUACGGGAGAAAGCAGGGGAUCUUCGGACCUUGCGCGAAUAGAUGAGACUAAGUCGGAUUAGCUAGUUGGUGGGGUAAAGGCCUACCAAGGCGACGAUCUGUAGCGGGUCUGAGAGGAUGAUCCGCCACACUGGGACUGAGACACGGCCCAGACUCCUACGGGAGGCAGCAGUGGGGAAUAUUGGACAAUGGGGGGAACCCUGAUCCAGCCAUGCCGCGUGUGUGAAGAAGGCCUUAUGGUUGUAAAGCACUUUAAGCGAGGAGGAGGCUACUCUAGUUAAUACCAAGGGAUAGUGGACGUUACUCGCAGAAUAAGCACCGGCUAACUCUGUGCCAGCCGCCGCGGUAA